rnacentral:lncRNA from 1 species
GUACUUGCACGUGUCCCAAAAAAUUCCAAAUCAGACCUAGGGCCCUUUUCGGCCAAUAUCAAAAUUCGAGCCGCCGUGCUCCGGCGACGGCACCGCCGCCCGCGGCGGCGAUUUGCCUCGGGUUGGCCGUUUUCGACCAAACUUGCCUUGGUUCCUGCGAUAAAACAACCCUAGGGCCCUUGGUGGGCCAAAAAAUACGAAAAACUGAGACUUACCGGUGGUGGGGCUCUCGGGUGCGGCGGCUUCUCCGGCACGAGUCGCGAUUUAAUAUUUUGCUCCGGUCAACCUGUAGAGAAAAGGACUGUGAUCACGGUGGUAUAAAAAUUGCAUCGAACGGGAACUAGGAAGGGCCUCAUCGGAGGCAAAAAUCGAGGGAAGCUGCGGCAGCGCCGUUGGACUUCAGCGGUGUUUUUCGGCCGAUUGGCUGGUAGUUUGGCUCCGAUUUGGCCAUAGGCGGAUUCAACAUCGAAAAACGAGCCAGGGGGAGAAAAAUUACCUCGUUUGGUGGUCGAAAAAUCCUCCGAUGCGGCAGCGGGUGACGGCAACCGGCUCCUCCAGUGACUGGUUCUUCUUCUCCGACGAGAGUACUGGCGGCUAGGGUUUGGGGUUGGGUGUGGGUGAGGUUAUUUAUAACCUUCCCCUUUUAAUCUCAGUCGUCUAUCAUGAUUUAAUCUGA